rnacentral:rRNA from 1 species
GAUGAACGCUAGCGGCAGGCCUAACACAUGCAAGUCGAGGGGUAGAAGUUGCUUGCAACUUUGAGACCGGCGCACGGGUGCGUAACGCGUAUGCAAUCUGCCUUGUACUGAGGGAUAGCCCAGAGAAAUUUGGAUUAAUACCUCAUAGUAUUACGAUGUGGCAUCACAAUGUAAUUAAAGUUCCAACGGUACAAGAUGAGCAUGCGUCCCAUUAGUUAGUUGGUAGGGUAACGGCUUACCAAGACGAUGAUGGGUAGGGGUCCUGAGAGGGAGAUCCCCCACACUGGUACUGAGACACGGACCAGACUCCUACGGGAGGCAGCAGUGAGGAAUAUUGGUCAAUGGGCGCAAGCCUGAACCAGCCAUGCCGCGUGCAGGAUGAAGCAUCUAUGGUGUGUAAACUGCUUUUGUACGGGAAGAAACACUCCUACGUGUAGGAGCUUGACGGUACCGUAAGAAUAAGGAUCGGCUAACUCCGUGCCAGCAGCCGCCGUAAUAC